rnacentral:rRNA from 1 species
UACAGAGGGUGCGAGCGUUAAUCGGAAUUACUGGGCGUAAAGCGCACGUAGGCGGAUUGCUAAGUCAGGGGUGAAAUCCUGGAGCUCAACUCCAGAACUGCCUUUGAUACUGGCGAUCUUGAGUCCGGGAGAGGUGAGUGGAACUGCGAGUGUAGAGGUGAAAUUCGUAGAUAUUCGCAAGAACACCAGUGGCGAAGGCGGCUCACUGGCCCGGUACUGACGCUGAGGUGCGAAAGCGUGGGGAGCAAACAGG